rnacentral:rRNA from 1 species
AGUGAACGCUGGCGGCGUGCUUAACACAUGCAAGUCGAACGCGAAAGGGUAGCAAUACCCGAGUAGAGUGGCGAACGGGUGAGUAAUAUGUGGGUAAUUUGCCUUUUAGAGGGGGAUAACCCGGCGAAAGCUGAGCUAAUACCCCAUAACAUCACAGUGUCCUCGGACGUUGUGAUCAAAUGAUGGCCUCUAUUUAUAAGCUAUCGCUAGAAGAUGAGCCCACAUCCUAUCACGCUUGUUGGUGGGGUAAUGGCCCACCAAGGCGACGACGGGUAGCCGGCCUGAGAGGGUGUCCGGCCACACUGGAACUGAGACACGGUCCAGACUCCUACGGGAGGCAGCAGUGGGGAAUUUUUCGCAAUGGGCGAAAGCCUGACGAAGCAACGCCGCGUGGAGGAUGACGGCCCUCGUGGUCUUAAACUCCUGUCUAGCGGGACGAAAGUAUUGGAGGUGAAUAAUCUCCGAUAUUGACUGUACCGCUGGAGGAAGCUCCGGCCAACUCCGUGCCAGCAGCCGCGGUAAUACGGAGGGAGCAAGCGUUACUCGGAAUUAUUGGGCGUAAAGGGCGCGUAGGCGAUCUGACAAGUCUGGUGUGAAAGCCCACAUGUUAACUGUGGAAGUGCAUUAGAAACUGUUGGAUU